rnacentral:rRNA from 1 species
UACGAAGGGGGCUAGCGUUGCUCGGAAUUACUGGGCGUAAAGGGAGCGUAGGCGGACAUUUAAGUCAGGGGUGAAAUCCCAGAGCUCAACUCUGGAACUGCCUUUGAUACUGGAUGUCUUGAGUGUGAGAGAGGUAUGUGGAACUCCGAGUGUAGAGGUGAAAUUCGUAGAUAUUCGGAAGAACACCAGUGGCGAAGGCGGCUCACUGGACCGUUGUUGACGCUGAGGUGCGAAAGCGUGGGGAGCAAACAGG